UGAGUGCUGAGGAGUCCCAUAAUAGGACGAAACGACUGUCCACUGU
rnacentral:hammerhead_ribozyme from 1 species